UUUGAUGGCUUUGAGCUAAUUGCUUAUUUUUCUGGAUAGACUUGGUAAUAACCUCUGGGAGGAUCAAGUCCCAUUUUUAGGUCCCUUCAUAGAGGAAUAGGAUACCUCGCCCAUAAUCUUCUAUGGCAUUCUUUAAAAUUGGAUUAAUAUGUAACAUAAGAAUGUGCAAACAUCUCACUUGAACCUAUGAAAAGAAGCUUUAUUUUGGC
rnacentral:lncRNA from 1 species